GAUAUGAAGCAUUUGACGAACACGUUUUUCUGUUGUUUUACAAAUGGCGAUGACACUCUGAGACGCACUAAUCAGACCACCUCGAGACUUUCGACGAAGAAGAGCACUGUGUAGAGUUCUGUCUGUGAGAGCGUCGAUGCAGUCAGCACAGGAGAUCUUCCUUGUCACCAUCUUGACAACGUACCCCGCGAUGUACCCCACAACAUCUUCAACAAAGGCUGACAGUUGCUCUGUAUCAGGUACAUCUGCGUAGUCGUGGUCUUCAACACAUUCACUCUGUGUAGUACCAAAAUAGCGGGAUGCAUGAAUGUCAAGUUCGUCAAGGGAAGUAGCUCCUGCUGCUGCUGCUGUCACAGUCAGUAUGCGUGUGGAGUCUUGGGCGAUACAUUUACCUCGUGCUGUAGGCUCGAUUUCAUGGUGAACAAGGAGCCUCUUGUAUGCAGCCAUGAAGUGUCCUGCCGUCGGGUUGUUACACCACCCACCUUUACCCCUCAACGCACAAAAGAAAAGUUCGAGGUGGUCUUGAGAGAGUUUGUAUGUGAGCAGGUACCUUAAGAGUGCAUUAUCUCCUGAAAGAAGAUGGCUGCAUGGGCCUUGAAUGCUUGCCAUGUUGAUGAGGAAUCCAAGGAAGCCUGUUUUUCGUGGGGAUUCUAAUAUUGGCUUUCCAAAUGCAUCUUUCAGGUUGCCAAUAUACGCAGUCAUCUCGUUGAAGAAUGGAAUCCAAAGGUGGCGGGUUGGAUAACGGAUGGGUGCUUUGAAGUUCUUUGCCAGGGGAUUGCGGGAGUUCAUGAUGUCGAACAGACGAUCGAACUUCCUGAGGAAUUCCACUGUUGCCUCACAUCCAUGAAACAUUGGAUUGUUUAUGUCCCUGUCACAGAACUCCAGAGCAUCCGCCACACUUGAGCUGAGUGUCUGAGCUGCCAAAUUCACCUUCAUCUUCUGACUUCCCCAGUCAAUGUGGACAGCCUUGAGCUUGUUUCCAGCAUGAAGCCCUUCCGAUUGCUGCUGAUUUUGGAGGGAUACGAGGUAGGCCCACUUUAUUGUGCCUCCAUUGCUGUCUUUCAGGGUCCCCAUUGUUGCGAGGGCAUUACGAAUCAGCUUCAGCAUGUGGCAAGCAUCGAGGAUUACAUGAACUCUCCAGGAAGAAUCAGAAGGGUGCUGAAACCAUGGCAUGAUGUCGGGGCUUUUCAUGUUUGCACCAAGGUCUUGAAACAUGGCUGUUGAUCAGAAAGUAUGCACAUGGCACUUUCCAGUUACUGUCCAAAGCAACCACAAGGAAUACAAGAGCUUGUGUAGCUGGUUCCUGACUGUCGUCAUCAAUGCCAGUACCUAGGUUUAUGAAGCCAUUAAAGGACUGUCCUGUGAA